GAUGAACGCUGGCGGCGUGCCUAAUACAUGCAAGUCGAGCGAACGGACGAGAAGCUUGCUUUUCUGAUGUUAGCGGCGGACGGGUGAGUAACACGUGGAUAACCUACCUAUAAGACUGGGAUAACUUCGGGAAACCGGAGCUAAUACCGGAUAAUAUUUUGAACCGCAUGGUUCAAAAGUGAAAGACGGUCUUGCUGUCACUUAUAGAUGGAUCCGCGCUGCAUUAGCUAGUUGGUAAGGUAACGGCUUACCAAGGCAACGAUGCAUAGCCGACCUGAGAGGGUGAUCGGCCACACUGGAACUGAGACACGGUCCAGACUCCUACGGGAGGCAGCAGUAGGGAAUCUUCCGCAAUGGGCGAAAGCCUGACGGAGCAACGCCGCGUGAGUGAUGAAGGUCUUCGGAUCGUAAAACUCUGUUAUUAGGGAAGAACAUAUGAGUAAGUAACUGUGCACAUCUUGACAGUACCUAAUCAGAAAGCCACGGCUAACUACGUG
rnacentral:rRNA from 1 species